rnacentral:lncRNA from 1 species
AUAUUUUUUAUUAAAAUGUCCGUUUUUCAUCAUUUUUACUAUUUUUUCCUUUUUUAUACUUUUUUUUUUCCUUUUUUUAAUGCCUUUUCUUUUCUCUUCUUCUCUAUUUUCCUUCCUCUUCACUUUUUCCCCCUUUCUUUGCCCGUUUUUUUUUCAUUUAUUCGUUUUCCCCGUUCUGUUUUUAGCACAUUUUCCCUUUUUUAACGUUUCUCCUUUUUUCUUAAUUUUUUUCUUUUUUUCUCAUUUUCAAUUUUUUUCUCCUUUUUUCCUCCUUUUUCCCCCUUUUUUCCUCUUUUUUCCUCCUUCCUCCACUUUUUUCCUCCUUUUUUCCUCCUUUUUUCCUCCUUUUUCCUCCUUUUUCCUCCUUUUUCAUCCUUCCUCCACCUUUUCUCCUCCCUUUCCCCCCCUUUUCCCCCUUUUUUCCCCUUUUUCCCCCUUUUUCCCCCCAUUUCACCUUUUUUUCCACCUUAUUUCCUCCUUUUUUCCUCCUUUUCCCCCCAUUAAUCCUUUUUUGACCAUCGCCAUCCCCAAAACUCAA